AACGAACGCUGGCGGCGUGCCUAACACAUGCAAGUCGAGCGUGAAAGUUCCUUCGGGAAUGAGUAAAGCGGCAGACGGGUGAGUAAUACAUAGGUAAUCUACCUUCGAGAUUGGGAUAACUCUGCGAAAGCGGAGCUAAUACCGGAUAAGACCACGCGACCUAAGUUACGUGGUAGAAGGUGGCCUGUAUUUAUACUGGCUAUCACUUGAGGAUGAGCCUAUGGCCUAUCAGCUUGUUGGCGGGGUAAGAGCCCACCAAGGCUAUGACGGGUAGUUGGUCUGAGAGGACGACCAACCACACUGGGACUGAGACACGGCCCAGACUCCUACGGGAGGCUG
rnacentral:rRNA from 1 species